GUGGGGAAUAUUGGACAAUGGGCGAAAGCCUGAUCCAGCCAUGCCGCGUGUGUGAAGAAGGUCUUCGGGUUGUAAAGCACUUUUGUCCGGAAAGAAAUCCUUUGGGUUAAUACCUCGGAGGGAUGACGGUACCGGAAGAAUAAGGACCGGCUAACUACGUGCCAGCAGCCGCGGUAAUACGUAGGGUCCGAGCGUUAUCGGGAUUACUGGGCGUAAAGCGUGCGCAGGCGGUUUUGUAAGACAGAUGUGAAAUCCCCGGGCUUAAACUGGGAAUUGCAUUUGUGACUGCAAGGCUAGAGUGUGUCAGAGGGGGGUAGAAUUCCACGUGUAGCAGUGAAAUGCGUAGAGAUGUGGAGGAAUACCGAUGGCGAAGGCAGCCCCCUGGGAUAACACUGACGCUCAUGCACGAAAGCGUGGGGAGCAAACAGGAUUAGAUACCCGAGUAGUCC
rnacentral:rRNA from 1 species